rnacentral:rRNA from 1 species
CGGCAACAGCUCAAAUUUGAAAUCUGGCCCCGUGCCCGAGUUGUAAUUUGUAGAGGAUGCUUUUGGCGCGGCGCCUCCCGAGUGCCCUGGAACGGGACGCCACAGAGGGUGAGAGCCCCGUAUGGUUGGACGCCUAGCCUCUGUAAAGCUCCUUCGAC